CCUUGUACACACCGCCCGUCACACCAUGGGAGUUGGUUUUACCCGAAGGCGAUGCGCUAACCGCAAGGAGGCAGUCGACCACGGUGGGUCAGCGACUGGGGUG
rnacentral:rRNA from 1 species